UACGUAGGGUGCGAGCGUUAAUCGGAAUCACUGGGCGUAAAGGGUGCGUAGGCGGGUCUUUAAGUCAGGGGUGAAAUCCUGGAGCUCAACUCCAGAACUGCCUUUGAUACUGAAGAUCUUGAGUUCGGGAGAGGUGAGUGGGACUGCGAGUGUAGAGGUGAAAUUCGUAGAUAUUCGCAAGAACACCAGUGGCGAAGGCGGCUCACUGGCCCGAUACUGACGCUGAGGCACGAAAGCGUGGGGAGCAAACAGG
rnacentral:rRNA from 1 species